GUCCUUUUGAAAUUAAUUUAAGGUUUAACCUGCCCACUGAAAUUAUUUGAAGGGCCGCAGUAAUUUGACUGUGCAAAGGUAGCAUAAUCAUUAGUUUUUUAAUUAAAAGCUUGUAUGAAGGGUUGGACGAGGUAAAUUCUGUCUCUAUUUAAUUUAAAUUAGAAUUUAAUUUUUAAGUUAAAAAGCUUAAAUUUUUUUAAAAGACGAGAAGACCCUAUAGAUCUUUAUAUUAUUUAUAUUAAUUUUAAUUAGGAAUAAUUAAUUUUUUAACAUUAAUAAUAUUUUAUUGGGGUAAUAAAAAGAUUUAAUUAAUUCUUUUUUUAAUUUUACAUUAAUUUAUGAAAUAAUGAUCCAAUUUUAUUGAUUAAAAGAUUAAGUUACCUUAGGGAUAACAGCGUAAUUUUUUUAGAGAGUUCAUAUCGAUAAAAAAGUUUGCGACCUCGAUGUUGGAUUAAAAAUUAUCUUAGGUGCAGAAGUUUAAGAUUUUGGUCUGUUCGACCAUUGAAUUUUU
rnacentral:rRNA from 1 species